rnacentral:rRNA from 1 species
AGUGAACGCUGGCGGUAGGCCUAACACAUGCAAGUCGAACGGCAGCACAGGAGAGCUUGCUCUCUGGGUGGCGAGUGGCGGACGGGUGAGGAAUACAUCGGAAUCUACUUUUUCGUGGGGGAUAACGUAGGGAAACUUACGCUAAUACCGCAUACGACCUACGGGUGAAAGCAGGGGACCUUCGGGCCUUGCGCGAUUGAAUGAGCCGAUGUCGGAUUAGCUAGUUGGCGGGGUAAAGGCCCACCAAGGCGACGAUCCGUAGCUGGUCUGAGAGGAUGAUCAGCCACACUGGAACUGAGGCACGGUCCAGACUCCUACGGGAGGCAGCAGUGGGGAAUAUUGGACAAUGGGCGCAAGCCUGAUCCAGCCAUACCGCGUGGGUGAAGAAGGCCUUCGGGUUGUAAAGCCCUUUUGUUGGGAAAGAAAUCCAGCCGGCUAAUACCUGGUUGGGAUGACGGUACCCAAAGAAUAAGCACCGGCUAACUUCGUGCCAGCCGCCGCUGUAACAC